AGUGGCGCACGGGUGCGUAACGCGUAUGCAACCUACCUUUUACUGGGGGAUAGCCCGAAGAAAUUCGGAUUAAUACCGCAUACUCCUAUUUGAGGGCAUCUGAGGAUAGGGAAAGAUUUAUUGGUAAAAGAUGGGCAUGCGUGCCAUUAGCUAGUUGGCGGGGUAACGGCCCACCAAGGCGACGAUGGCUAGGAGUUCUGAGAGGAUGAUCCCCCACACUGGUACUGAGAUACGGACCAGACUCCUACGGGAGGCAGCAGUAGGGAAUAUUGGGCAAUGGACGAGAGUCUGACCCAGCCAUGCCGCGUGCAGGAUGAAGGCCUUCUGGGUUGUAAACUGCUUUUAUCUAGGAAGAAAAAACUCUUGCGAGAGGAACUGACGGUACUAGAGGAAUAAGCACCGG
rnacentral:rRNA from 1 species